rnacentral:rRNA from 1 species
GACGUAGGGGCCAGCGUUGUUCGGAAUUACUGGGUGUAAAGGGUUCGUAGGCGGUGCGGCAAGUUGGGAGUGAAAUCUCUGGGCUUAACCCAGAGGCUGCUUCCAAAACUGCUGUGCUUGAGUGUGGGAGAGGCGCGUGGAAUUGCAGGUGUAGCGGUGAAAUGCGUAGAUAUCGUAAGGAAGACCAGUGGCGAAGGCGGGUCUCCUGGACAGUUCCGUGACGCUGAGGCACGAAGGU